GUGCCAGCCGCCGCGGUAAUACCGGCAGCUUGAGUGAUGACCGAUCUUAUUGGGCCUAAAGCGUCCGUAGCUGGCUACGCAAGUCCGUCGGGAAAUCCACUCGCCCAACGAGUGGGCGUCCGACGGAAACUGCACAGCUUGGGACCGGAAGGCUCGAAGGGUACGUCCGGGGUAGGAGUGAAAUCCUGUAAUCCUGGACGGACCGCCGGUGGCGAAAGCGCCUCGGGAAGACGGACCCGACAGUGAGGGACGAAAGCUGGGAUCUCGAACCGGAUUAGAAACCCGAGUAGUCC
rnacentral:rRNA from 1 species